UUAACAAAGUAAUAGAUACUUACGAUACAUGUAAAAAAUACUAGAAAAUUACAGGCUAAAGAGGUCAACAAACUGGAGGUUAAACAAAAUAGUUUAAUUUUCGAUGUGUGCGUGUUUGAGCGGUCCAAGAUUUAUUUUUAAAUUUUAGUGUAAAAAAUACUAACCUUAAUAAAAAGUGAAACGAGGUAAUCAAGAGGAAUGUCUUUGCAGGGGUGGUGGAAUGGUAUUUUUUAUGGUUCGUUUUUUAGCCGCAAACCAGUUAACGACUAUAGUGGAUAAAUUGGGAAAAACUCACAAAAUAUAUUACCCAUUACUGGAGUAUAAACUGCAAAAUGUUCAGAUGGCAUCAUUAAAUCGCCAAAAAUCACAUCUUCAUUGAAGAGUUUAAAAUAUCACACAAUUAAAACAGGAUGUACCACUUCGUAAGAAUGUGCAAAGUUCACACACACUUCACAGAAGUGGUGGUUUGAGUUUCCGGUAAUUCACAUCACUUAAUGAUUGUUGAAGAGGCCAGAAUACAGGGAAGAUGUGUUGUGGAAGUUUGUUUAAAAGAACACCUUAGCAAAUUUUUCAUUUCAAAUAAAAUAGUGUUUCACAGUUGGUUCCUGCACUUGUAUUGAAAUAAUCUGUAGUAAAUAGUUCCCGAAACGCUCUUUGGAAUUGUAUUGGUGUGGGAUUUAUACAAUUCCCAAAUUGACGCCUCACAGCCAAAACAAUACUGAUUUAGUUGCAGCAACCUUUUAGUGAAAAUUGUAAACAAAUUGUAUUCUGUGAAAACUAUUAAAAAUAAUAAGCAAAAUGUUUAUGUUCCUGAA